rnacentral:sRNA from 16 species
UCUCUUUUACCGCUUAAUCAAACACGAACGGGGGAACCAACGAUUGGCUGUUUUAUUAACAGCCUUGGGGUGAAUCUUACUAAGUAAGAGGGGGUACUCUGAAUCCCUAAUCCGACAGCUAACCUCGUAGGCGUAUACAGAGAGGAGGU